GGCAUUCUUUUGUACUAGUAUCAGUUGGAGUAUAGUUCAGUACACAAGUUUGAGGUUUUGGACUAACAUCAAUCAAUACCUGUUAAAAUUCCGGCCUUUUUCAACUGCAAGUUGCACUAAAUUAUGUUCUGGAAAAGUCAUAUAUACAUAUCCCAAACUUCAACCAAAAGAUUGGCAUGUACAUGCACUAUGCAGAUAAUUCAGAAUGUUCUCCAGUUUCCACGCCUUAAAAACCGAAAAUAUUCGUGGAAUUUAUCAUUAUAGUCUUUUCCAAAUCUGCGGUGUAAAUUUCAAGUUGUCACAAUCAGUAAGUCAUGUUACCAAUAUCGACGAAGAUAUAUUGUUCAGGAAGAACAGUUAUUUAGAAAGUAUUGAUGAAGAUAUUUCCUAGCUAGGAACAUAUUCCAAAACAAUGAUGAAAAUGUAUACUAUAAUAUGUUUCCUAUAAUAUGUCUGUUAUGUCCAAAGUGUCCUUCAGAGAUCAUCACUCUAUUUUCUCCUCUCCCUCGACUGUUAUAACAACUCCGUAGAUAAUUGUGCAUCAACAAGGGUGGGCUGGCAUCAUCAGCAUAGCUUCAGAGCUAUAAACAUGUUUGGAUUUGUGUUGUCUCUUCUCUGCUCUCAAAACUUGUGAUUUUGUGAUGUUAUUUGUUCAUGGAUAGAGGUUCUUCUGAGUUCUACCAGACUAUUUCUCCAUUAAUAUCUGGUUUGUAAAAGGGAUGUCAGAUAAGGAGAUUUUUCUGUCACCUUUGCAUUUCUUAGCGGAGAUAUUUCGCCUUUGAAGAAGGAUCAUAAGAAAAAUCUUCCGAUCUCUGUUCCAAAAGGUAUUGAAACUCCCACUCAUUUUAUAUGUUGAUGAUAUCUUGCAGUUUUGUAGAGUAUAUUCACAACUUCAAACAAGCUUUUGGUCAAAACGGGGUUCUUCUAAUCACGUUCAAUCAGUUCCUUUGGACAAAGAUUUAGAGUCUGGACUCUUAACUUUGUUUCAAUAUCUGACUUUAUAAUUAGAGCUUCCAGUCUUAUAUUUUAAAUAUGUUAUACUAGUUAACAAUUUUUUACAAAUUUAAGACAAGAUGUCAUAAAUCUCGAUGAUUUUUCGAUUAAACUUGUCAUAAGUUCUUGUGACUUUUUUUUAUAAAAGAUGAAAUCUUCAUGAUUUAUUGAACUUCUUUAUAACAAAAGUCUUUUUGACAAUUUUUAAUUUAAACUUAGAUCGUUCUAAUCUGAACUUAAAUUGUCAGGAUUAAUGACAACUUUCGAUUUAUAAUAAACCGAAAUUGUCAUGAGUUAUUGAAAUAUUAUAACGAUUUUGAUUCAUUAUAAAUCAAAAGUUAUCAUCAGUCUAAACAAUUUUAGUUUACAUAAACAUAAGUGCUUACGAUUUUAGUUAAACAAAUUUACCAUGAGUUAUAAUUUUACUUUUCUAAAGUUUUAUGAAAAAGUCAUAAACACUUACGAUGACUUCAGCACUCAAUAAUUUAUUUUAAAUUUGUAAAAAAUGUCAAGAACUCUAUUUUUUGUAAAUUACUGAUAAACUAUUCCAUUUUUUCAAAAUAUGCGCAUUCAACUUGUAUGUAAGUUUUUUCAUGAUAAGGAUCCUUUUAAAUAGUUUAAAUCAUUUUUGGGGUAUUUUUUUGCAAAGCUUCUUUAUGAGAUUCGUGAUAACAUUGGCUGGGUUUUUGGGAUGGUUCUUUUGUUAACUUUUGGAGGGAUUUUUAGUGUUUGUAUUCAUCUAUAACUAUACAUCUCCGUAGUUUCUUUCUGUUAUAAACUCUGCCUUUUGUGCAAAAUGAUAAGUUGAAUAUUUUUAGUUUUCUUCUCUUACAGAAGAAGUUUGCUUUGUUGCAAGGUGGCAGCCUCGAAGACCAAUUUGUAAAGAAGUUGACUUCUGUGGUAUUCUUCAAAUUUAAGUGUUACUUUUUUUUAUUCUAAAUUCAUUCAUCUUUUAUUCUAGUAUUUAUUAUCGGACUACUCAGAUGUCGGUAACUGAAUAUGUCAAAAAAUAUGAUAUGUAAUAAAAAAUUUGAUGCAUUUAUUUUGUGGAAGUAUGAAUAAUAGAAAGGUGGGGAGCGAGUGUUGUUGGAGAGCGUGUGAAUGGAAGUUGAAAAGAAACCAAACAUAGAAAGAGGAAUAAAGUUAAGCCAUCACAUGCGAGCUGCACAAAGAAACCGCGCAUCUGCUUGGUGAUAGGUGAAUUCUGCAUUGAUGAUGACAACUGAAAGCGUGGUAGAAAUAAGGGUUUGGAAGGACAAAUCAGAGGAAAACAAUGGUAUGCAUGGAAGAAUUGGAUGAAGAAAAAUCUUCACCAGCAUGUUGGUAUUUUAUUUUAAACCACUUACUCUUUUAUUUAUUUAUUUAUUCUGUUUUCCUUAUAGACAGACCACGUACAAAGGUAAAUGAAAAUGAUACAAGGUCAACAAAAACAUGUUGGGAAAUCAAUGGCAAAGAUUCUUUUUCCAUUAUUUUUAUGAUUGUUAGUAAUUAUAAGCCAUCUUUUUUUUGUCCCACUACGAUAACCUUAAUUGAUAUGGCCUUUCUGUCGGUGAGCCCAUCCCCUCAUGCCCCCACUCUCAGUUUCAGGAUCAUGUUGUUUGAAAAUAAGUUUAGAGUAACGUUACUAUAUGAAAAUAAUCACAGUAGAGAGAAAUUUUUUUUUUCUUAUUCGAUGAAAAAUUUAUAAAAAAAUUAUUUUCUAUUAGAUCGUGAAAACAUCUCU